CCUACGGGUGGCAGCAGUGGGGAAUAUUGGACAAUGGGCGAAAGCCUGAUCCAGCCAUGCCGCGUGUGUGAAGAAGGCCUUCGGGUUGUAAAGCACUUUCAGUGGGGAAGAAAGCCUUGGGGCUAAUACCCUCGAGGAAGGACAUCACCCACAGAAGAAGCACCGGCUAACUCCGUGCCAGCAGCCGCGGUAAUACGGAGGGUGCGAGCGUUAAUCGGAAUUACUGGGCGUAAAGCGCGCGUAGGCGGUCUGAUAAGCCGGUUGUGAAAGCCCCGGGCUCAACCUGGGAACGGCAUCCGGAACUGUCAGGCUAGAGUGCAGGAGAGGAAGGUAGAAUUCCCGGUGUAGCGGUGAAAUGCGUAGAGAUCGGGAGGAAUACCAGUGGCGAAGGCGGCCUUCUGGACUGACACUGCCGCUGGGGUGCGAAAGCGUGGGUAGCAAACAGGAUUAGAUACCCGAGUAGUC
rnacentral:rRNA from 1 species